rnacentral:rRNA from 1 species
CCCUUAGGUGUUCUGGGCCGCACGCGCGCUACACUGUUCGACGCAGCGAGUCUUAACCUUGACCGAAAGGUUUGGGUAAUCUUCAGCAAAGUCGAACGUGAUGGGGAUCGAUCAUUGCAAUUAUUGAUCGUGAACGAGGAAUUCCUAGUAAGUGCAAGUCAUCAGCUUGCGCUGAUUACGUCCCUGCCCUUUGUACACACCGCCCGUCGCUACUACCGAUUGAAUGGUUUAGUGAGAUCUCUGGAUUGACGCUGGCUAGGGGGCGACCCUUGGCCAGACUGUUGAGAAACUGCUCAAACUUGAUCAUUUAGAGGAAGUAAAAGUCGUAACA